GUACACGCUGUGACUAGCAUAUCAAUAAGCGGAGGAAAAGAAACUAACAAGGAUUCCCCUAGUAACGGCGAGUGAAGCGGGAAGAGCUCAAAUUUGAAAUCUUAAAGGGUUUCCCUUUACGAAUUGUAGUUUAAAGAAGUGUUUUUCUGUUGAGGUUUUGGUAAAAGUUCUUUGGAAUAGGACAUCAUAGAGGGUGAGAAUCCCGUAUUUGACCUUUACUUUCAACUUUGUGAUACACUUUCAAAGAGUCGGAUUGUUUGGGAAUGCAGUCCAAAAUGGGUGGUAAAUUUCAUCUAAAGCUAAAUAUUGGCGAGAGACCGGUAGCGAACAAGUACCGUGAGGGAAAGAUGAAAAGAACUUUGAAAAGAGAGUUAAACAGUACGUGAAAUUGUCAAAAGGGAAGCGUUUGACACCAGUGUUGUUUUUCUGAAAAUCAAUUAAAGAACUGUUUAUGCUAAGUUGUUUAGACUUUAUCAGCUAUCUGUUUAGUUUUGAGCUUUUCUUUAAUGCACUUUUCAGUUAACAAGUCAACAUCAAUUUCUUUUGCUGUAAAAAAGCUUGAGGAAGGUGGCUUGAGAUUCGUCUUAAGUGUUUAUAGCCUCUUGCCUAUGCAGUCGGAGAGAUUGAGGUCUGCAGCGUAGAUCCUUCGGGGCUAAAUGCAUUUGUGCUAAGUUAUAGCAUUUUAUAGACAACUUGUUGACUAUGAUUUGUCUUGUAGCUUACUCGCUUAUGUUAUUUUACCUACGCUUAGGAUGUUGAAGAUGUAGCACAUCAU
rnacentral:rRNA from 1 species